AACGAACGCUGGCGGCAUGCCUAACACAUGCAAGUCGAACGAAGCCUUCGGGCUUAGUGGCGCACGGGUGCGUAACGCGUGGGAAUCUGCCCUUUGGUUCGGAAUAACGGUUGGAAACGACUGCUAAUACCGGAUGAUGACGAAAGUCCAAAGAUUUAUCGCCAGAGGAUGAGCCCGCGUAGGAUUAGCUAGUUGGUGUGGUAAAGGCGCACCAAGGCGACGAUCCUUAGCAGGUCUGAGAGGAUGAUCAGCCACACUGGGACUGAGACACGGCCCAGACUCCUACGGGAGGCAGCAGUGGGGAAUAUUGGACAAUGGGCGAAAGCCUGAUCCAGCAAUGCCGCGUGAGUGAUGAAGGCCCUAGGGUUGUAAAGCUCUUUUACCCGGGAUGAUAAUGACAGUACCGGGAGAAUAAGCCCCGGCUAACUCCGUGCCAGCCGCCGCAGUAA
rnacentral:rRNA from 1 species